CAUUUUGUAAUUUGAGUUUCGCGACUCAAAUUAAACACAUUUUGGCCCAACAAAUCAAAAUUAACCAUUCAGUGUAUUUUCUCAUGACAUCUAAACUGCACAAUGGAUCCACCAAACUUCAUGGACUACAACAGAGUUGCGGAAAAAUGGAUCUAGCAGGGGGCUCUCUCAUGCUCGGACCACGAAGAUAUUCACGUACAAACGGAUUGCAAAAAAACCGAAGCACAACCCUCGAUAGCUUCCUCCCCUAGCCAAAAGUUGCUGAUAGUAGAUCGUUUGGCAGAUGCCUAUUUCAAAGAAUGCCAGCUAAGAGAGCAGACACUCUAUUCGAGCAUUAUAAAGAAAAAUAACAUUUUCGAAAAGGAAAUGGGUAUGAGGAGAAGAAGUGUUACGCCUAGAUGGCCGAGCAUAUUGGAAGAUAUCAAUGAAAUAAAUGAGAACCUGAACGCCAUUCAAGGACCGAGGGAAAGUAAAAAUUUUAGUAGAAAGAAAGUUGGAUCGAAGAGACGACUUAAAAUCGUAAAUAAGAACAAUAAAGCAGCAAAGCGUCAUAUUAACCCAAAACAGCCCGUUGAAUAUUCUUCGGCAAUGCCUUGACCAAGCCAAUUAUGCCACUUUUUGUAAUACCUAUGGAGGUGUCUAGUUGAAUUGGAAAACGUUAGCCACGAAAAAAAUAAAAGUGAACAAUUAAACUAGGAAUUUAUUUUCUUAACCAUAGUUUUGUGGGAUUCUGAUUCUUCUGGCGUAAUUAACGUACCAUGCUUGGUCUCUUUCGCAACAUAAUUAUAAGCUAAUAAAGAUAUCGAAGCUCUUAUCUUAAGAUAAAAAAAAAAGUCUGCCCUUAUAAACCAUCUCACCGGUACUUGCACACUGCAGCUGCUCAUCUACUUAUCUUAAUUACAAUUUCAACAGAAUCGAUUUCAGCUCUUAAUUAUAAAUUCGUUAGCGCAAAAGAGGAGUGCAUAAGAGGAAUGCACAAUUUCUAUUGGUAAUAGAGUCCCUUUUGAUUAUUAGUGCCAUAUUAAGUAAUAGUAGUCGUAGGGUGCAG